ACGGAAGGCAGCAGUGAGGAAUAUUGGUCAAUGGGCGGAAGCCUGAACCAGCCAAGUAGCGUGAGGGAUGACUGCCCUAUGGGUUGUAAACCUCUUUUGUUCGGGAAUAAAUGAGCCCACGUGUGGGUUUUUGCAUGUACCGUUCGAAUAAGCAUCGGCUAAUUCCGUGCCAGCAGCCGCGGUAAUACGGAAGAUGCGAGCGUUAUCCGGAUUUAUUGGGUUUAAAGGGAGCGUAGGCGGCCGGUUAAGUCUGCGGUAAAAUGUCAGGGCCCAACCUUGGCAUGCCGUGGAUACUGUCCGGCUUGAGUGCACACAAGGAAGGUGGAAUUCGUCGUGUAGCGGUGAAAUGCUUAGAUAUGACGAAGAACUCCGAUUGCGAAGGCAGCCUUCUGGGGUGUUACUGACGCUGAGGCUCGAAAGUGCGGGAAUCGAACAGGAUUAGAUACCCUGGUA
rnacentral:rRNA from 1 species